rnacentral:rRNA from 1 species
CAGUAGCCGCGGUAAUACGUAGGGUGCAAGCGUUAAUCGGAAUUACUGGGCGUAAAGCGUGCGCAGGCGGUUAUAUAAGACAGAUGUGAAAUCCCCGGGCUCAACCUGGGAACUGCAUUUGUGACUGUAUAGCUAGAGUACGGCAGAGGGGGAUGGAAUUCCGCGUGUAGCAGUGAAAUGCGUAGAUAUGCGGAGGAACACCGAUGGCGAAGGCAAUCACCUGGGCCUGUACUGACGCUCAUGCACGAAAGCGUGGGGAGCAAACAGGAUUAGAUACCCCAGUAGUCCCUGUCUCUUAUAA